CCUCACUCCUGUGUUUUAUGGCUUUCUAUUCCUAUGUGACUUCUCUCUAUAAUGUCAUGUAGGGUUCAAAGCCAUUAGGUACAGAGUGGCAA
rnacentral:pre_miRNA from 1 species